rnacentral:rRNA from 1 species
GACGAACGCUGGCGGCGUGCCUAAUACAUGCAAGUGGGACGCAAGGAAACACACUGUGCCUGCACACCGUGUUUUCUUGAGUCGCGAACGGGUGAGUAACGCGUAGGUAACCUGCCUAUUAGCGGGGGAUAACUAUUGGAAACGAUAGCUAAUACCGCAUAAUAUUAAUUAUUGCAUGAUAAUUGAUUGAAAGAUGCAAGCGCAUCACUAGUAGAUGGACCUGCGUUGUAUUAGCUAGUUGGUAAGGUAAGAGCUUACCAAGGCGACGAUACAUAGCCGACCUGAGAGGGUGAUCGGCCACACUGGGACUGAGACACGGCCCAGACUCCUACGGGAGGCAGCAGUAGGGAAUCUUCGGCAAUGGACGAAAGUCUGACCGAGCAACGCCGCGUGAGUGAAGAAGGUUUUCGGAUCGUAAAGCUCUGUUGUAAGUCAAGAACGUGUGUGAGAGUGGAAAGUUCACACAGUGACGGUAGCUUACCAGAAAGGGACGGCUAACUACGUG